UACAGAGGUCUCAAGCGUUGUUCGGAUUCAUUGGGCGUAAAGGGUGCGUAGGCGGCGCGGUAAGUCGGGUGUGAAAUCUCGGAGCUUAACUCCGAAACUGCAUUCGAUACUGCCGUGCUUGAGGACUGGAGAGGAGACUGGAAUUUACGGUGUAGCGGUGAAAUGCGUAGAUAAUCGUAAGGAAGACCAGUGGCGAAGGCGGGUCUCGUGGACAGUUCCUGACGCUGAGGCACGAAGGUCAGGGGAGCAAACAGG
rnacentral:rRNA from 1 species